rnacentral:rRNA from 1 species
UACGUAGGGUCCGAGCGUUGUCCGGAAUUAUUGGGCGUAAAGGGCUCGUAGGCGGUUCGUCACGUCGGGAGUGAAAACUCGGGGCUUAACCCCGAGCCUGCUUCCGAUACGGGCAGACUAGAGGUAGGCAGGGGAGAGCGGAACUCCUGGUGUAGCGGUGGAAUGCGCAGAUAUCAGGAAGAACACCCGUGGCGAAGCGGCGUCUCUGGAACGGUACUGACGCUGAGACGCGAAAGCGUGGGGAGCGAACAGG